GUGGGGAAUAUUCCGCAAUGGACGAAAGUCUGACGGAGCAACGCCGCGUGAGUGAUGAAGGUUUUCGGACUGUAAAGCUCUGUUGUUUAGGACGAAAGUGCCUGUUGCAAAUAGUUACAGGUAUUGACGGUACUGAACGAGGAAGCCACGGCUAACUACGUGCCAGCAGCCGCGGUAAUACGUAGGUGGCAAGCGUUGUCCGGAAUUAUUGGGCGUAAAGAGCAUGUAGGCGGGAAUCUAAGUCUGUUGUGAAAAUGCGGGGCUCAACCCCGUAUUGCGAUGGAAACUGGGUUUCUUGAGUGCAGGAGAGGAAAGGGGAAUUCCCAGUGUAGCGGUGAAAUGCGUAGAUAUUGGGAGGAACACCAGUGGCGAAGGCGCCUUUCUGGACUGUGUCUGACGCUGAGAUGCGAAAGCCAGGGUAGCGAACGGGAUUAGAUACCCGGGUAGUCC
rnacentral:rRNA from 1 species